rnacentral:lncRNA from 1 species
AAUAAAUUACUCAUUAACAUAUCGAUUGAAGAACAAAAUUUUAAAAGAUGUUAAUGUACCACAUAAGCUAUCAAAAUUUAAAUUUUAUAUUCAAAAUUUAACAUCUCCUAUGAAGAUGUUCCAAGUACACAACAGCCUCAACAAAAACCACACCCAUUUCCUCCUCCAUUCCGAAUCACUAACCAAAACCUCUACCCAAACUCCUCUCCCUCAGUUUCCAAAAAACAAAAAAAGAAAAGCCUCCUCUGUCUCCCCGACCCUGCGAGACCCGAGCGACCCUUCAUUCUGCCACCGUGCUGCGCCUAGCCACCACCCUCUUGACCCGAUCCACCAUCUUCCUCAGGGCCCGAUGCUUCUCUAACGACGUCGCUGCGACUGCCCCAGCCGAUUCGACUUUCAGUGACGCCUGGAAGAAAGUGGUGCCUCACAUAGAUCACACAAUGACCCCAUUGACCUUUAUGAAGCCUCGGCCUGCAACCCCGUCGUCGAUCCCCACUAAGCUCACUGUCAACUUUGUGCUCCCUUAUGCGGCCGAACUUUUGGCUAAAGAGGUCAGUUUUCGGAGAGAUUUGUUGUGGGUUUUUUUUUGCAAUUUUUUUAUCUGUGGUUUGAUUUGAGAUUUAUGUGAUACGGGACUUGUAUGCUUUAGUGUCGGUUUAUCUGGGUUUGGUGCAAAUUCUGGUUUUCAGGUCGAUUUUGUUGUCCCUAGUUUGAAUUGGGUAUACUGUUGUUUUGAGUAGGUUUGUAUUGGUUUGGAGCUAAUUCGAUUCACGCUUUGAUUUUUCUGUGACCCUAUAUGGUUUUUGGUUUUCAAUUGUUAAUUUACUGGGGCUGGAGCUAGUUUUGAAUUCUUGAUUGGAGCAAUUAUGAUGUAUAAGUUCUACGAUAUAUAAUAUAUUAUAGGAUGUAAUCAUUUCAUUUAAUAGGUCUUCAUAUCUUCACAGAGAUGCAAUGUUACUUACAAAAGAUGCUGCCGCAUUAAUAUUUUUGUGCUGUUUCUUGUAUAGGACUCUGUGUUUUGCGUUUCUUUGUAAAAGUCCAAUUUUAAGAAUAAGAGUUAACUUUUUGGUUCUUGUUUCAGUAUUUUGUUUGAAUGUCAAACUUCCAUCUAAGUCAUGGUGAUUAUUCUUGUUACAUAAAUUGUAUUUGCUAGAUUGAUUUUAAGCAUUUCACUGUUUUGGAUUUUGAAUGGAUGCAUUAUAGCAUGUUCAAUCAACGGUACCAUGUUUUCAGUUUGAUCUCUAUUUGUUACUUUUUCUAUUGACAGUGUUGGAAAAAAAAAAUGUAACUUUGAAUCCAUAGUGUUUGAUUUGCGUGGCCCAUGGAAGAUUUAGUCCUGCACUUAUUGCUUGGAUUUCAUAUUUUUCAAACAUUUACAGUACUCAUAUCCCAUUUCCUUAUUUUAUUUCAUGCUAACUUUUGCAACUGAUUAUAGUGGUGCAAUAUACACCUAGUUUUCAUCUGUUGUUGCUGUAGGCUGAACUUCAUCUCAGUUUAGUGUAUGUAAGGAUGCUUUAUGUGUGUCACAUUUUUCUUUCUUAUGAGUCAUAUGCUAUACUGUUUUAAAGUAUAUAAUUCAAAUUCACAUGUGAACAGAUGUGGAAUUAAGUUCCUUUUAAAAAGUUUGUGGAGUUCUCAAUCCAAUGAGAAACAAAUACCGCUUGUAAUGAAAACUAAAAUUCCAACUUGUGAUGCAAAAGUGUAGUGUUAAGUCCAUUUCCUCUCCUUUAUCAAGCUUUGUGACUCCUUUUAGUCUUUUGAUUGGCAAAUGGGUAUGGAAAUCAGACAUGAGUAACAUAGCUGAGUGAGUUAGAGCAUGGUUGCAUGCCAAAAAAACAUGUCAUGGUCCUGUUGGCAGUUGAACUGUUAGUUUUCUACAUAUAUGAUUUGUGUAAUGCAUUGCUCAUGUGCAUAAGCAAGGUAAGUACAACUUGAAAUAUUAUACAUGUCUUAGUUUUAUUUGUCCCAUUUGGAGCGAACUUUGGAUUUAUCCCGGUAAAGCGAAAUGAAUCUUUCUUUUUCAUAAGUAAGAAAAGUUAUUGGUGGUGCAUUUUGAGAUCAACGUGCUCUUCCUUUUUUUAAUGUGUUAUCCUCAGUUUCAUAGUAGCCUUGCAUAUUUAGUGUUGGCCUCAGACAAUCAUUGAAAACCUUCUUUACUAUUCUUUUUUUCACUGCGUUUCUGACAUUGAUAAAGGGGACUGAAUCUUUUAGCUAACUUGCUUCUGACAGAUUAAAAGAAUGUGGAACUAAACACAAAGAUUAGUUGCCUGACUAAUUUUAAUCUCAGACAAAAUUAGUUUUUUUCCUUCAUUCAAUGUUACGACCCAAAGCUACUGUUUUCCAUCUUCUGUUAUCUUUCAAAACCAUAUUUUAAAAAAUGUGCUUGCUGCCUUUUCUUAGUACCAAAACUACUGUUUUGCCAGACAAAAAAACUAGUGUAUGUUGAAGAUUGAUGAGCAACAGAUGCCCCUUGCUUUGACAGAACUCGAUAAUGUAACAGUCGACUUUUUUUAGUGGGUGAAGGCCACCAUUCAGUUGCCAAACAUCAUGACUUUGUUGAGACUGAAACUUGAUAAUUUUAGCAUUAACAUUAUCUGUUGAUUGUGUGGCCAGUAAUCCAAAGAUGUAAAGGCAAGGAUCUGAAGUUUGUUUGUAUUUGAUUAUAUAUCCACAGAUUCCGAAACAGAAAUACGAAGAUGAUAUUGCAUUAAUGUCAUGUUUUUGCAAAGAAUUAGUAAGAGACUUCUAGUUGUGCCAUCUUUUUUUAUUGUGUGACGAAAGACGGAACUAUCAUUCGUUGUCUGAGCCAUGAACAGAAGGGAAGACAGAUUUCAUUGACAGAAUACCGAGCAAAUUGGGAUUCUUUCUGCCGUUAGAAAAGUAGAUAAAAUCACAAAGAGACUGAAGCAUCUGCAUUAGGGUUGGCAGGUAGAACCUUAUAAAUUGAAAGUUCGUAGCCGUGGUUCUCAUAUAAUUAUAAACCAUGCAAGAAUGGUGAAGGAUGUAAUGAGCCAUCUCUGUGUGGCUUAGAAGUUAGAGGUUUGGAUUAGGUAGACAAACUGAAACCUCAUUAGAGAAGUUAGAUCCUUAAGUCCAAUCAAAACUCAUUAAACUCAUUAUAGGUGCAAGUAAGCCUAUUAAACUGAUUAACAUUUCAUUUUUCUCCUAUGGUCUCCCCUUUUGAAGUCAUAAUUGGUGGUUUUUUUAAUCAAAUAAUUGGUCGUCUUCGUUUAUAGUUUUUCCCCCUUUUUUUGGUAUAGUUCUUUUGAAGCUAUUUUUAAUGAUUGAAAGGCUUCUUUUUUUUUCUUUUUUUUUUUCACUUGGUAUGAUAGAAUUUUAGUAUUAAAGUAUCUGUUUCCACAAUAUUGAUGCUACCCCAUUCGGAGAUAAUAUAGAUCACAACAUCUUUAUAUGUAUAUCCAUUUCUUGACGUUUCUUGGUAGUGAUUUAGGAUGCUUUCUAUAGGUUGGAAGGCCUCAAGUUUCCUAUUUUUGGUUGUAUGGCACUUUCUCUACAAUAAGCAUUAAACAUAGUGAGGGAGGAGAGGAUGGAUAUUGAAACUUGUGCCACAAACCUUCAAACCUUAAAAACGUUGAUGAAAUGAAAAUGUAGGAAUAUAGAUAUUACACCCAGUCUACUGUUAUGCGAGGAAAUUAAUGUUGCUCCCUGAUCAUUUAAUAACCAUGUGCACGCAUCUUGGACAAGUCAUUUAAUUUUUCUUGUGCCCCAAUAGCUUAUGCCAUCAUAUUUUUCUUUUCAUGUGUUCAUGCAUUGAUUGUUCAACAUUACCCAGCAUGUUGCAAUUAGGGAUCCAUCGCAUGUUUCCUUUUGGCAGGGGGACCUUGCCAUCUACCUAAUAUUGGUUGUGUUGCAUUUGUCUUCUUACCCAAUUAAAUUUUCGCUUUCUUUAGACUUACUCUAGAUCAAAAAGUGUUCUAUUAUCAUAAUUAAAGUGCUUGCUUUUUGUAAAC